rnacentral:rRNA from 1 species
UACGUAGGGAGCAAGCGUUGUCCGGAAUCAUUGGGCGUAAAGCGCGCGUAGGCGGCCCCGUAAGUCCGCUGUGAAAGUCAAAGGCUCAACCUUUGAAAGCCGGUGGAUACUGUCGGGCUUGAGUACGGGAGAGGCGAGUGGAAUUCCUGGUGUAGCGGUGAAAUGCGCAGAUAUCAGGAGGAACACCGAUUGCGAAGGCAGCUCGCUGGAACGUUACUGACGCUGAGACGCGAAAGCGUGGGGAGCAAACAGG